AUGCGACUUAAGCCACGUGCAGUCAUUGAAUUCUUGACAGCAGGAGGUGUCACCCCAAAGGAGAUCCAUCAGAGAAUGCAAGAUGUUUAUGGGGAUUGUGUUGAUGUGAAUCCUGUGCGUCAUUGGGCAAGUAAGUUUAAAGAUGUUGAGGUGGGAACAUCUGACUUGCGCGACAAACAAAGAGUUGGAUGUCCUGUGACAGCAACCACUGAGUUUCACAAGCAAAAGGUUGACAGUUUGAUUCAGGACGAUCGUGGUAUCACUCGGAGAGAAAUUUCAAGCAUUAUUGGCAUUUCACAAGAACGUGUGGGUCACAUUAUUGCUUUAGUUGGAUAUCCUGUGACAGCAACCACCAAGCUUCACAAGCAAAACAUUGACAGGUUGAUUCAGGACGAUCGUUGUAUCACUCAGAGAAAAAUUUCAAGCAUCAUCAGCAUUUCACAAGAACGUGUGGGUCACAUUAUUGCUUUACUUGGCUGUUGGAAGAUCUGUGCACGAUGGGUACCCAGGAGGCUGACGCCUGAAAUGAAAGUGCACAGACUUGAAAUUUGCCAGGAACUCCUCUUGCAUUAUGAGAAUAAUGGUGACGCCUUUCUCCUUUGGGGCGAAACCUUCUGCUCUCAAGAAUUCAGUGACUGCACGUUGCUUAAGUCGCGUUGACUGACCGUCUGCGCAGUUCCAUACUUUGCACUUUAACAAUACAACCGUCCAAUGCUAAGGCUUUCCCCCAAAUGGAACUGUAGAGGAGAGUCUAUUGAACAAGCCAGGACCUGCCGCAGACCAGAACUGGAUAAUAUGAGGAGUUGAGGAGUUACGAAGGUGGAGGCAUUACUUUUCAUUCAACCCUCGUAAUAAUACAUUUAUUACCCACCUCUCAUUGUGCAUGAUGGCAACUGCAUGACCCAUGUUUCCCACCCAGAUACUUCUCACAGAGGAGAUGGGCAGCUUCAUGUUCCAUCAUGUUUGUCCUAAUGCUCUCUUGCCAUUAUCUCAGGUGGUGCAGCUAUAGGACUGCAAGGGCACAUCUAUUUAGACAAAAUGGGAGUGAUAUUAGGAUUAAGUUUGAUUGCCUGUCUGGCAAAAGAAGGCUCCAGGCAACCGAGGAGGACGCUUUUGUGGUCACAACCAGGUGAACGAUAUGCAAAUCGAAAACACCUUAAUCUACUUAUCACUGGAAGCACAUGCUCAGAGGAGGUUGGAGUGACAGCCCUUGCUGGUCUACUCAUCCUGCUUCCGACAUCACAAUUUCCAGAUUAGAGAGCUGGGUCAAAAUUAACUGAAUGAAUUUCUGCUGGGAUAAAUGCAUAGUACUGCAUUUUAGACAGAAAAUAUAAAUAAAAAGGCAAAGAUAUAGGAUGGGGGAUAACCAGUCUGAAAACAGCCCAUGCAAAAGGAGUCUCAAUGGACUGAAAGCUGAAUAUGAGCCAACAGUGUGAUGCAGCAGCUAAAAAUUCCAAUGCGAUUCUAUGCUACAUCAUAGGAGUCUAAGGUACUAAUUUGUCCAUAUUGUUUUGAAUUGUGAUGCUCAGAACUGGACCGUCCUACUCCAACUGAAUUCUGAACAAAGCAGAAGACCGUGGGACUAAGGCUCCUUCACUCUCAUAUAAAAUUCAGAUUAUCUGCUUUGAACUGGAUUAUAUGGCAGUGUAGACUCAUAUAAUCCAGUUCAAAUGAGAUAAUGUAGAUUGGCUGCUUUGAUAAUCUGGAUUAUAUGGUGGUGUAGAAGGGGCCUAAAUCUUCCUUUCAUCUCGACACUAUCUUCCUAUUGAUGCAGCCUAGAAUUGCAUUGGCCUUUUUAGCUGCCGCAUCGCACCAUUGACUUGUGUUCAACUUGAAGUCUCCUAAAACUCCCAGAUCCCUUUCACAUGGGGUGUUAUCAAGCCAGGACUUUCCCAUCCUAUAUCAGGCAUUUCAUAUUUUCGUUGUUGUUGUUGUUGUUGUUGUUGUUGUUGUUGUUGUUGUUGUUGUUUAUGUUUAAUUAUACCCUGCUUUUUCUCUCCACAAGGAGACUCAAAGCGGCAUAAGUGUAGUACCAUUAAUAUCUCCCUGUUGAAAUUCAUUUGGGUUGUUGUGAGUUUUUCGGGCUGUAUAGCAAUGUUCUAGCAGCAUUCUUUCCUGACGUUUCGCUUGCAUCUGUGGCUAAUGCCAACUUAAGAGGUUCUGUUGGUGGUGAGACAAGUGGAGUGUAGAUAUCCCUGUGGAAUAAUGUCCAGAGUGGGAGAAAGAAACCUUGUCUAUGUAAAGCAAGUGUGAAUGUUGCAACUAGCAUGGCUGAAUAGCAUUGAGUAGCCAUGAAGUCAAUCAGUGAGGGUAUUUGUUGGCUGUUGUUGCCUGGAGGAAUUCUUUGUGAAGUUGUUGUUGAAAUUCAUUUGCUUAGUAAAUCACAGGAUCAUUUCAGCUGAGGUCCGACCCAAGCAGAAUAGCAUGGGACUGUUAGGGAUUCCUCUUCUUCAGAACGGGAGCAGGAAAGUGUUCAUGAAUCUGAGGGUGAGUUGGAAUUGGAGGAGGAAACUUUGCAAGUGCCCACAUUCCAGGAGAGGCGAAAGGAAACAGAGAUGAGACAUCGUUCAACUAGAAUAGCUGCCAGAAAUGCAGCUGAGUAAUUGGGAACUGCCCUAGCAGCUGUGGAGGAACUCAGGGCUAUAAAGCAGAAGCAGGUGCAGCCUGGUAACAGACUGACUCUAAUGCCUUCACUCCCCGUGUGCCUGCUCCGAGUCUGCAUCUGAAUUUAUUGCUGUUUCUUUGUCUGAAGUAAGACUACUGUUUGAUUUGGGAGUUUACCAAGAGACUGUGUUUGCCCUAUGACUUCCUUGUUUCUUUUUGCAUUAUUCCAUUGAAUGUGCUAUACUUUAUGUGUGCUGAAGUAAAGCAGUUUUCAUUUACUUACCACAGUGUGUUAAGGCUGUUCUUGAAGGACAAAACUGGAGAGGGACUGUGAUGUCUCUCCAUCUAGACACUAGACUCUUCUAGAUGCCACCCAGAGACUAUACGGGUUGAGUGAAAAGUAAUGCCUCCACCUUCGUUACUUGGGUUUGGAUGGGAAUAUUUUAAUACAUCAAAUGCAGAAAUAAUUCUUAGAAUGUGCUCUUUAAUGAUCACUAUUUGCUUUUUGACAUAAUCACCAGACAAUUGGAAACAUUUCUGCCAACGAUUAACAAGCUUUCUGAAGCUGUCAUGGAAGAACUCUGUUUCCGCAACCGACAUCUCACAGGACCCAUCGUGCACAGAUCUUCUGAUAGCCAAGCAAAGCAAUAAUGUGACCCACUGACCCACACUUUCUUGUGAAAUGCUGAUUAUGCUUAAAAUUUCUCUCUGAGUGAUACGGUGACCAUCCUGAAUCAAUCUGUCAACCUUUUGCUUGUGAAACUCGGUGGUUGCUGUCACAGGACGUCCAACUCUUUGUUUGUCACGCAAGUCAGAUGUCCUCACCUCAACAUCUUUAAACUUACUCGCCCAACGACGCCCAGGACUCACAUCAACACAAUCCCCAUACACAGCUUGCAUUCCCUGAUGAAUCUCUUUUGGGGUGACUCCUGCUGUCAAGAAUUCAAUGAUUGCACAUUGCUUAAGUUGCAUUGACUGACGGUCUGUGCAGGGUUCCAUACUUUGCACUUGAACAACACAACCGUUCAAUGAUAAGGCUUCCCCGUCUGCUCAGGGUUCCAUACUUCACACUUUAACAACACAACCAUUCAAUGCUAAGGCUUCCCCGUCUGCUCAGGGUUCCAUACUUCACACUUUAACAACACAACCAUUCAAUGCUAAGGCUUCCCCGUCUGCUCAGGGUUCCAUACUUCACACUUUAACAACACAACCAUUCAAUGCUAAGGCUUCCCCGUCUGCACAGGGUUCCAUACUUCGCAGUUUAACAACACAACCAUUCAAUGCUAAGGCUUCCUGCCAAAUGGAACUUAGAGGAGAGUCUGAACAAGCUGAUACCUGCCGCAGACUGUCAUCUGCUGAGGAGUUCCGAAGGUGGAGGCAUUACUUUUCAUUCAACCUUCGUAGAUUCAAUGUCCCUGGUCCCAUCUCUCCAAGAAAAUGAUAACGAACCACCUCUUCAUUUCACUGUAAUGUGCAAACUCCUUUAGCUUAGAUUUCUGUCUUCUUUCCCAACCUGGAAGAUAUAUUUGCUGUCUGCAUGUGCUUGAAUGACAAGCAGUGGUGCUUGGUACUUACUUAAUGCGUCACACUUGAACCCAGAACCUUCUGGAAUCCUGAACUGACAACCGAACUGUGGAGGAUAUCUUUCAUAGUUAUGGUUCAAGAGAGAGUGAAUAGGAAAUACUUGUAGUGGGGUGUAUGUUACUUUACAGCUUACCAAGGAGGUGGAUUUUAUGCAUUCCAGGCGAGCAGUCAGUCUCCAGGCUAAAAGCACGGAUCCAUUUGCAUCUUGAACCUGGUACAGGAUGCUUUGCUUCGGAGUCGAAACCGCGCUCUUCGGAGGCCGCUAGUGAACGCAUUCAGCUCCAUUUUUCUACCCUCUUGGUCUCUGUCUGACUCAACAGAAGCUCCUCUCUGCUCCUCAUCUUCCACAGAAGCCUGGGAAGGAAUGCGAAUGAGCCGAGGCCGAGGAAGGGAGGAAUACAGACAAAACAUCCGGAGGAAAUGUUCUGACAUGGCCAUCCAUUACACUAUGCAACACGAUUUUUGUUCCUGGGUUAUAAAUGUCAUUUCAUAAUUGGUUCUAGCAUAAAAACAUGGAAAAAGUUUAUUAGACUGCAAAAACUUUUGUUUUUGUGGGACAUCCUGCAGUACAUUAUGCCAUAGUUUUUCAAUGACUAUCUCAUUGAGUCUCAACCAAUUCAAAGUAGUUUGUGACAGCCACAAAAACAAAGUAACUAUUUUUGAAGUAACUGCCACACAAUUAAACAGGAAAUGAUAAUUUCAAACCAGGAACAGAACAUUUUUUGAAAAAUUGUUACAUGGUGUUAUAGGGCAGAAUUGUCUUCUGA
ensembl:lncRNA